GUAGUCAACCUGCCCUGGAGACACGCAUAACCCCGGGNAAAUGGGAUUAAUUCGUGAUAGGCCAUCUCAUCUGGAAGGAGAGAUGACUUAAAGGGAUGCGAGAGCUUCUUUCUUGUAUCUGCUUCAGGAUGGGACUGCGGCCGAUCAGGCUGUUGGUGGGGUAAUGGCCCACCAAACCUGUAACCGGUACGGGCCCUGAGAGAGGUGGCCCGGAGAUGGACACUGAGAGAAGGGUCCAGGUCCUACGGGGCGCAGCAGGCGCGAAACCUUCGCAAUGCGCGAAAGCGUGACGAGGUUAAUCCGAGUGACUUCCGCUGAGGAGGUCUUUUGUCAGCUGUAAAUAGGCAGGCGAAUAAGGGGAGGGCAAGCCUGGUGUCAGCCGCCGCGGUAAUACCAGCUCCUCGAGUGGUCGGGGCGAUUAUUGGGCCUAAAGCAUCCGUAGCCGGUUCCGUAGGUCCUCUGUUAAAUCCAACCGCUUAACGGGUUGACCUGCAGAGGAUACCGCGGGGACUAGGAGGCGGGAGAGGCGGACGGUACUCCGCGUGGUA
rnacentral:rRNA from 1 species